GGGGAUGACUUGGAUUCGACGCGAAGAUUGCACUUUUAUAAACGGCUAGGGUGGAUCUAUCCAUUAAAUAGAAAAAACCAAACGCAAAAAACACUUUUGCUAGAGCUUUUGAAAGCGUGGAAGCGUCAAACUACGCUCCUGCGUUCGCUUAAGCCUACUCUGUUCAGAUUUUUCUCGGUUCUAUCUGAAUAAGGGGUCAACCAAUCGGGAUAGGUUUUACAGUUUUUUCGGUGAGCUGUACGACUGAUAACAAACACCGGAGCCCUGUUUACUUUUGUAAACUAUCUCUAGCUAAACGUUUUUAAGGUUGCCUUUGCGGACCCGGGUUCAACUCCCGGCAUCUCCACCA
rnacentral:tmRNA from 1 species